rnacentral:tRNA from 1 species
CAUUAGAUGACUGAACGCAAGUAAUGGUCUCUUAAACCACUCUAUAGUAAAUUAGCAACUACUUCUAAUGA